rnacentral:sRNA from 1 species
UCGCGUAUAUUGAUGAGAGAGAAUCGGU